AGGCUACCCUUCUCUUUUGCAAUGAUUAAGUUACCAAAAGGCAAACAGAAGGGUGAAGUUAGGGCUUUGCAUACGCUGUAUGUGGGCUAUAUUUUAUUCAUUUUGUGUUUUGCUAGAAUCAGAAGUCUGCCGGAGGUUCUAGCUGCAAAUCUAAAUUAUUUAAGACGCUGUUUAAUUCUGGAUGUGGGGAAAUGACCCAUUGCGUGCUAACUGGAAUAUGAAAACGGCYGCCCAACCGGGCGGGCGCGAUGCACCCCGAUUGCGUGCUCCUAACGCCCGYGGGCCGCUUCGGAGGUCCCUCUUCUGGCGUUGCUUGCGGGGACGUGGUGCAAAGCUGACGCUCGCCUUUUCUGCUCCCCGCAGACCCCCCGGCCGUGGAGCCGACCUUCCUGGAGAUCAGGCAGGGCCAAGGCCGAAGCGUCACCAUGAGCUGCCGGGUGCUGCGAGCGUAUCCCACCCGGGUGCUGACCUACGAGUGGCGCCUGGGCGGCAAGCUGCUGCGGACGGGCCAGUUCGACGUGCAGGACUCGACGGAGUACGCCGUGGGCAGCCUCUCGCGGGACAGCUACGGCGUCUACAACUGCAACAUCAUCAACGAGGCGGGGGCCGGCCGGUGCAGCUUCCUGGUCACAGGCAAGGCGUACGCUCCGGAGUUUUACUACGACACCUACAACCCGCUGUGGCAGAACCGGCCCCGCGUUUACUCCUACAGCCUCCAGUGGACCCAGAUGAACCCCGACGCCGUGGACCGCAUCCUCGCGUACCGCCUGGGCAUCCGGCAGGUGAGGAGAGCGGUCGGCUGGGACGGGGAGCGCGCGGACCUCCGCCAGAGCCGCCUGCCCUUCUGGCUUUUGUUUUUUCCCCCCUGUUUCAUCCUGUUUGGAUUUGCUGCCGAAUUGCAGAGGCGUCCGCUGCCGCUCGCCGGUCCUGGAAACCCACUUGCACGUUUGCAGUGCGGAGCCGGCGCCUCGAGGGACUGCGCAGGAGAAACUUGCAGAGAAAUCUAACUUCUAUCUCUCUAUCUAUAUAUCUUUUAUUAUGUCUUCCACGUAAGUAGAUAAAUAUAGCAAGAAACAUAGCUUUCGUACAGAAACAUGUGAUCCCUGAGAACUGAGAAACCUCCCAUAACCGCGUUAAAGCCCGUCGCGCUUGCAUCAUCGUAGGAUUGGCUUUGGACUUUCAAAGGACAUUCGCUACUGUUAAAAAAGCACGGUACCACGCUGUUUGCAGAGGAACUGUUAAAUUAACAUAGUAGUCAACAUUAAUUUACCGUUCAGCAAUUUUUAAGGAAAAAUGUUAUCU
rnacentral:lncRNA from 1 species